rnacentral:rRNA from 1 species
AGAUACCCCUGUAGUCCCAGCCGUAAACUAUGCUCGCUAGGUGUCAGGCAUGGCGCGACCGUGUCUGGUGCCGCAGGGAAGCCGUGAAGCGAGCCACCUGGGAAGUACGGCGCAAGGCUGAACUUAAAGGAAUUGGCGGGGGAGCACCACAACGGGUGGAGCCUGCGGUUUAAUUGGACUCAACGCCGGGAAGCUCACCGGAUAAGACAGCGGAAUGAUUGCCGGGCUGAAGACUCUGCAUGACUAGCUG